UACGUAGGGCGCAAGCGUUAUCCGGGAUUAUUGGGCGUAAAGAGCUCGUAGGCGGUUUGUCGCGUCUGCCGUGAAAGUCCGGGGCUCGACUCCGGAUCUGCGGUGGGUACGGGCAGACUAGAGUGAUGUAGGGGAGACUGGAAUUCCUGGUGUAGCGGUGAAAUGCGCAGAUAUCAGGAGGAACACCGAUGGCGAAGGCAGGUCUCUGGGCAUUAACUGACGCUGAGGAGCGAAAGCAUGGGGAGCGAACAGG
rnacentral:rRNA from 1 species